rnacentral:misc_RNA from 1 species
GAUGAAGAACGUAGCGAAAUGCGAUACGUAGUGUGAAUUGCAGAAUCCAGUGAAUCAUCGAAUCUUUGAACGCACAUUGCGCCCGCUGGAACUCCGGCGGGCACGCCUGUCCGAGCGUCAUUUCAACCCUCAGGCCCCCCUUCGCGGGCGGGCCUGGUGUUGGGGCCCGGCCGCUACCCUGCGGCCGUCCCCUAAAUUCAGUGGCGGCCUCGCCGUGAUCCCUUGCGUAGUAAUGCACCUCGCACCGGAGAGCGCCGUGGCCACGCCGUAAAACCCCCAAUUUUCAAUGGUUGACCUCGGAUCAGGUGGGAAUACCCGCUGAACUUAAGCAUAUCAAUAAGCGGAGGA